UCAGAACCAAAACAAGGCAGUCAAACAGAACAGAAUAACAUGAGGAGGAGCCAUGACCCCGUGGUACACUUCUAGAGAAGUCAUUCUUACUUAUCUGAUUAGAGUAUCAGAACCUUGAAUAUCGAUUUCAGAAAGAGCUUUCACAGCCUUGCUGAAAGAUAACCAUGAGCACUUCGAGUUCAUUGCCAACAGACAAAGAAAAGCAGGGCGACCUUGUGAAAGGAGCCCCCUGGGGUCAUCACCCAGGAUGCUGCUCUCAGUUCUCUAUGACCCAUAAUCAGGAACCCAAGCAACCAACCUAACCGUGCUGUGGCUUUGUUUCUCCAUCUCUAAGUUUCAUCUGACCUACUUUCCAAGAUAGACUCAGACUAUGGGAAGAGGUACUCAAGCAGUCUGCUACACUGACAAGAGAGCCAGGCUGUGGAACUGACAGAAGACUGAAUCAACGACCUGUGAUUUCCAGGGUCUCUCAUAAACAAGCUGUCUGGGAAAUCCCACCGUCAUGUUGUGAGGACAAGCAAGCCUGUGUGGAGCUUGACAUGUGUGGAGCAAAGAGAAGAAGUUGAAGACUUGAGGAGAGAAGCCCCUGCCAUAGAAAAGUCUCAGAUCAAGAAGGGCAGAUUCUACCGCAGAUGCUCAUAAGGAAAGAUGGGAACAGUGAUAUAUUUUAAACAUUUAGAGGUAUAACUGCCAAUCUGAGUUACUCUACCCUACAAGGUUAUCCCUCAUAAUGGCAGGAGAUAGACCAGACAUCAAUAAUUAACACAAAUUAAAAUGAUUCAUUACCACUGAAACAGCACAGGAAAGAUACUUGAAUACAUCCUUCACACUGAAUUAUAACAUGAACAUAAGGGGUUGGGGAUUUGGCUCAGU
rnacentral:sRNA from 1 species